rnacentral:rRNA from 1 species
UACGUAGGUGGCAAGCGUUGUCCGGAAUUAUUGGGCGUAAAGCGCGCGCAGGCGGUCUUUUAAGUCUGAUGUGAAAGCCCACGGCUCAACCGUGGAGGGUCAUUGGAAACUGGGGGACUUGAGUGCAGAAGAGGAAAGUGGAAUUCCAAGUGUAGCGGUGAAAUGCGUAGAGAUUUGGAGGAACACCAGUGGCGAAGGCGACUUUCUGGUCUGUAACUGACGCUGAGGCGCGAAAGCGUGGGGAGCAAACAGG